rnacentral:rRNA from 1 species
GGACGAACGCUGGCGGCGUGCCUAAUACAUGCAAGUAGAACGCUGAGCCUUGUUCUUGCAACCAGCCGGUUAGUUUCCGAAGGGUUAGUUACGCGUUGGGUACCUUCCUUGUUACGGGGGAUUACUAUUUGAAACGAUUGCUUAUUCCGCCUAACCGUUGGUUUUGCCUGAUUGCUACUUUAAAGGUUCCAAUUGCACCCUUACCAGUUGGCCUUGCGUUGUAUUAGCUAGUGGUGGAGGUAACGGCUCACAAAGGCAACGAUACAUAGCCGACCUGAGAGGGUGAUCGGCCACACUGGGACUGAGACACGGCCCAGACUCCUACGGGAGGAAGCAGUAGGGAAUCUUCGGCAAUGGACGGAAGUCUGACCGAGCAACGCCGCGUGAGUGAAGAAGGUUGUCGGAUCGUAAAGAUCGGUUGUAAGAGAAGAACGAGGGUGAGAGUGGAAAGUUCACAAUGUGACGGUAUCUUACCAGAAAGGGACGGCUAACUACGUG